GUUCUCUCUUCAGCAGCAUGGGUACUGAAAUUGGAUUGAUACAGAGUUAGCACGUUUCCUGCAAAAGGAUGAUAGACAAAUUUGUGGAGCGUUCUGUUUUUUU